GACGAACGCUGGCGGCGUGCUUAACACAUGCAAGUCGAACGGAAAGGCCCUGCUUUUGUGGGGUGCUCGAGUGGCGAACGGGUGAGUAACACGUGAGUAACCUGCCCUUGACUUUGGGAUAACUUCAGGAAACUGGGGCUAAUACCGGAUAGGAGCUCCUGCUGCAUGGUGGGGGUUGGAAAGUUUCGGCGGUUGGGGAUGGACUCGCGGCUUAUCAGCUUGUUGGUAGGGUAGUGGCUUACCAAGGCUUUGACGGGUAGCCGGCCUGAGAGGGUGACCGGCCACAUUGGGACUGAGGUACGGCCCAGACUCCUACGGGAGGCAGCAGUGGGGAAUAUUGCACAAUGGGCGGAAGCCUGAUGCAGCAACGCCGCGUGCGGGAUGACGGCCUUCGGGUUGUAAACCGCUUUCGCCUGUGACGAAGCGUGAGUGACGGUAAUGGGUAAAGAAGCACCGGCUAACUACGUG
rnacentral:rRNA from 1 species